UCCGGGGGGGGCAAGCGUUGUCCGGAAUCAUUGGGCGUAAAGCGCGCGCAGGCGGCGAUCUACGUCUGGGGUGAAAGCCCGGAGCUCAACUCCGGGACUGCCUUGGAUACGGGAUCGCUUGAGAAUUGGAGAGGCAAGGGGAAUUCCACGUGUAGCGGUGAAAUGCGUAGAUAUCGGGAGGAACAUCAGUGGCGAAGGCGGCCUUCUGGUCCAGUACUGACACUCAAGUGCGAAAGCGUGGGGAGCAAACAGG
rnacentral:rRNA from 1 species